UCCUUAGUGGCGAACGGUCGCGUAACACGUAAGGAACCUGCCCUGAAGUGGGGGAUAACCGCCCGAAAGGGUUGCUAAUACCGCAUUGUAACUUUAGUCGGCAUCGACUUUGGUUUAAAGCUUUAUGCGCUUCGGGAUGGUCUUGCGGCCUAUCAGCUUGUUGGUGGGGUAACGGCCUACCAAGGCUUUGACGGGUAGCUGGUCUGAGAGGACGAUCAGCCGGAUUGGGACUGAGAUACGGCCCAG
rnacentral:rRNA from 1 species